GACCUCUCCGGUGGCCUAGUGGUUAUAGCGUCUUCCUUGGAUGCGGGAGAUCGUGGGUUUGAUCCCCAACUGAGUCG